rnacentral:rRNA from 1 species
CGGACUAAUACCGCAUGAAGCAGGGGGCCCCCGGCCAUGGGGAUAUUUGCUAAAGAUUCAUCGCUGAUAGAUAGGCAUGCGUUCCAUUAGGCAGUUGGCGGGGUAACGGCCCACCAAACCGACGAUGGAUAGGGGUUCUGAGAGGAAGGUCCCCCACAUUGGUACUGAGACACGGACCAGACUCCUACGGGAGGCAGCAUG